UACGUAGGGUGCAAGCGUUGUCCGGAAUUAUUGGGCGUAAAGAGCUCGUAGGCGGCUUGUCGCGUCGGCUGUGAAAACCUGGGGCUCAACCCCGGGCCUGCAGCCGAUACGGGCAAGCUAGAAUUCGGUAGGGGAGACUGGAAUUCCUGGUGUAGCGGUGAAAUGCGCAGAUAUCAGGAGGAACACCGGUGGCGAAGGCGGUAUCCUGGACCGGUAUUGACGCUGAGGCGCGAAAGCUAGGGGAGCAAACGGG
rnacentral:rRNA from 1 species